rnacentral:tRNA from 1 species
GGGCCGGUCGUCUAGCUUGGUUUGGACAUCCGAAAGGACCUGAAGCAGCCCUUACGAGGCUGAGGUCGCAGGUUCAAGUCCUGCCCGGCCCA